UUGUACUUGUUUAUUUUUGAUACACCUCAGGGAAAGUGGUGAGAACAGAAGUAAAUGUGGAGGUUAAAACAAGCUGUUGAAGCUCUUUAAUUUAUAAACAUGAAGUGUUCUGUUAAUGCCUAUGGUUGUUGUCUCUCCAUGUCCAUUUUCACACCAUAAAACAUAAAACAAACCAAGCAGAUAUAACGAAUGACACAUCUAUUAGUGCGAUAUCAUGUUACUCUUAGAACGUAUGUGAGAAGUGCUAAAAACACAGAUAACAGAAAUUAGAGACAGCCUAUAUGAUGGUUGUAUUUUUAUCUCCAAAAAAAAAAAUGACAGAAUAGAUAUUUUAAGCUUUCUACUGUAUAUUAGAUCCAACCACCAUCUCUCCAUGUUUCUAGAUAAAUGUUUGAAGAAAAACCCACCUAUCCUGACAGUGUACAUGUGUGUGCAGGUGUUUGAUAGAAUGAGGUCAGAAGAGUUUUAGUUCUAGUUUGAGUUGCUACCUUUGAUGUGUGAAAGACACCAAAGUGUGUGUGUGUGUGUGUGUUUGUGCAUGCAUCUGUGAUUCCGUAUCUCUUUGUAUGUGUUAUGUGUGUUUGCAUAUACCAUUUCCUGAAAUAUGUGCAUAUUUGACAUGUUUAUAAGCGGGAAAGCCAGAAAAAGAACUAAUUCAAGUGACGAUCACACCAGUGAUGGAGUGCUGCUCUCUAGUGGAAACACAUAAAAUAAAUACAGCAGUACAACAGUACUAGCUAACAUUAAUAAACUGAUCUAACCAAACAUUGGUAUAAAAAAAUGUAUUAAACAGACCAACUUUUUCUUUCAUGAUGUAACCUGCUGGCCAUAGCUGUAACAACAAAGAGGAUGUAUUGUUUCUGUAUCAAAAUUCUUUAUAUUCAAAAUUAUAGUUUGCUUUAAAACAUUUUCAUUUAAGUUUUUAAACUAUUGAGUUAUUCACAACCCUGAUAAAUAUUAACAAGGAAGCCCUAAAAUAAUUAUUUGAUAAGAGUCCAAAUGAGGCAGAGAUUUUAUGCAUCUCGCUUAAUUGAAUGUCAUGCGUUCCUUUCUUUCCCAUUUUAAAGAGUGGCUAAUGAAAAUGGACCUCUGAGUCAUAUCCUAUUCAUACCUGAGAGAAACAGGAAAUCAUUGAUUAUUAUUAUUAAAAAGUUCACAGACACUGACUUAUCUAAAGUACAGUAUACAUUGAAAAAAUUUUAAUUUGCAGUUAUUUUGCAUAGGAAUUAUUUCAUGUGCCACUAAACAGGGCAUAUACAAUUUUUUAAAAUAACAUGUUUUUAAACUGUGUGAUCUCCCCGAAAAUGAAUAAAUCUGUUGAAAUUAUAGAUUUGAUUAGUCCGUGUGAGAUCAUGGUGCUGCAAACAACAAAAUAAAUUCCUCAUUUUGAUCAGGGAUGAAAAUUAUUGUACAGGCUAUCUGGAUUUCAGAAUUGCUCCUUCAGUUGUACAAAGCUGUACAAAGUAGAUAAAAAGGUUACCUGGGAAAUUUACUUCUGCCUGAAUAUCACUCACAACUAAGUUUUCCAAUUUAUCAUACCAGUCCCAUCCUCCUGGGAAUGAUACCUUAUCCCAACAGUAGUAUCACCCAUAAGGCUGAGUCUGACACAUUGGUCUUCCAGAGACAGCUUCUCCUGUGUUCCCUCACUGCAAGCCUGCAAAGCUGUUGUAAGUCUGUGCAGGUAGUGACUCUGUUUUUUUAUGGGACCACAGUGAAAGGUCACAUCUCUCACACAUACUUUAAAAUUAACCGUGGAAAAGGUCAGUGGUGCUGGGUGAGGAAGGUGACAGAUUUAGACAGUUUGGAAAACACAAAGAGAUUUGCAGAAAGAGAUCUGAGAGUUUGUUGAUUGUGUGGGUGGAUUAAAAGAAUUUCAAAUCUUCAAAGAAGGACCCAUACAAUUAUUACACCACCCCAGGUCAUUAUAUGCAUGCCUAGAGCUACUUUAAAUUUAGUUUGAUUUAAUACUCGGUUUGCUCUGUUUAAUACAGUUAAGUAUGUGAAUUUACACAAAUGCCCAUUUCAGUUUUCCUAUCGCUGUGUUCAUGCAGCUGCAACAGCAUUUUAAAAUGCUGCAAAUAUAUCAUGAUGCAAAGAGAGUCACAUGAAAUCUUGGACUAAUUCUUUAAAGAAGUCAAUCUUUGAAGCUUUGCCUCAACAAGAUGGCAUUUCAAGAUCUCCUGGGACUUGCUUUGAUAUUAAGCCUAUAUUAUGCAGUUUAGCCUCAUAUUAAAACCACACACUGUUUUCUAUUGCAUAUACACAUCUUUUUAUUUCAGAAUCUACUGUCAACAUAAUAUGAUCUUGGCUGCUCUUUUUAUAAAUUUUGUUUCAGAACAAGUUAGCCAUGCUUUACUCUGUCAGCAUGAGUUAACUUUUAACUCUUCAAAUAUAAAGCAAACCAGGCAAAUGCCAGCAAAGGGAUUGUAUCUGUUCAGUUUAGCUUUGACAAUGACCCCAACUAGUGGAGGUAUGGCUGAAGUGCAGUAAAUUGAUCAGAAUAAAUGCAUUUCUGUUCAAGACCUCAUAUGCGGUUCAGUAAAACAUUUUUAGGAAGGUUGAAAAGUUAACUGCUGUUUUUAGAAGAACUAAGCAAAUACACACUAAUGUCAGUACUUGAAAAUCUUUGAAAGCUACAAAGAGAUGUUGCACAUUAAUAUAAAUCAAAGAACAUUUGAUUAAUGUAUAAUUUUGUUAGAGUAAAAAGUGCUGAAAGCUUGUGUUUGCUUUUGCUUAUGUUGGUUCAGCCAGCAACACCUUUCUGCUGAAUCUCACAGCUUGACCUGUUCCUGUAAACUGCUAAAGUAUGUGUUUUAUUUCUGUCUCAACCUAGAAGGCUGGAGGGAUCGUUGGCAACAUGAGGACUGACUUUGGGUGAGCGACUGUGUGUGAUGCCGGAGUCCUUUGAUUCCUCUCUCAUUGCUGCUAAAAAUCAGUGAAAGAAACUUCUGUUUCCUCCCACAUCCUGACAAACUCGGAGUUCAGAGGAUAGAUAUUCAGCUGACUGCCAGCUAUUACUAAAGCUGCAGGUAAAUCUCACUCUGCCACUUUUUGGAUGUUCAGAGUGUUUAUUUAUUUAGAAAGUGAGAAAUGUUUGCUGAUAUUUAUUGUCUAUUUUUCUUUUAGUAUAAAUUUUGUUUAACAUUGGUUAGACAUGAAAUUGGUGAUCCUUUUGGCACUUUUAGGUGGUAAGGGAUUUUUUUUCUUUUUGCUAACUUGAAGUAAAAUAGUUGCAUAUUUCAGAUUUAGAGCUAAAACUUAAUUUCAACACAUUGAAUUCAUCAUAAAGCAAUUCAGCUGUGAACAAAUAUAGAUUCAUGCAGCAUUUACUGUGCCUUGCAAAGUAUUGACACAUAUAUGGGAAUUUGUUUCUCGUUACUCUCCUUUUAAUGCUGCCUUGGCAACUGUUCCUAUGGCCCAUAUUAACUGUAAUCAAUUACUUAACUAGUGUCAUAAUGGGUUUAAGGCAGGACCCAAAUGCAGGAUUGAGUGAAUUUGAAGAAAGGUUUUUAAUGGCAAAAAUAAACUGAAAGUUGACCAAGGCACAGGAACUCAGGCGGGUGUACAACAUAAACAGGAUGAACUCAGGAGCAAGAAAAUCCGAGCAACAGACAUGGAAGAACUCAGGACUGGACCAGGGCAAAGACACAGGGGAUGUUCACUGCUCCACAUAUUAAAGAAGAGGCAGCAAAGAAGUUCAUCAGAUUGAAGAGACAGGCGGGAUACUGGGAUCCACACCACUCUCAAAACAUGUAGGGUUUCACCAUCCAGUAACAGUGAAAACAGCAGGCAGUUAAUAGAGAUGCUGAGAAAUGUACAAGCUCACCUGGACAGCCAGACGGGUUGACGCAAAUAGAAAACCAGAGGGACAAGACCUUAUGAUACGGAAACAAAGAUUAAAACUAUUUUU